UAGGGAAUCUUCCACAAUGGACGAAAGUCUGAUGGAGCAACGCCGCGUGAGUGAAGAAGGUUUUCGGAUCGUAAAGCUCUGUUGUUGGUGAAGAAGGAUAGAGGCAGUAACUGGUCUUUAUUUGACGGUAAUCAACCAGAAAGUCACGGCUAACUACGUGCCAGCAGCCGCGGUAAUACGUAGGUGGCAAGCGUUGUCCGGAUUUAUUGGGCGUAAAGCGAGCGCAGGCGGAAUGAUAAGUCUGAUGUGAAAGCCCACGGCUCAACCGUGGAACUGCAUCGGAAACUGUCAUUCUUGAGUGCAGAAGAGGAGAGUGGAACUCCAUGUGUAGCGGUGGAAUGCGUAGAUAUAUGGAAGAACACCAGUGGCGAAGGCGGCUCUCUGGUCUGCAACUGACGCUGAGGCUCGAAAGCAUGGGUAGCGAACAGGAUUAGAUACCCUGGUAGUCCAUGCCGUAAACGAUGAGCGCUAGGUGUUGGGGACUUUCCGGUCCUCAGUGCCGCAGCAAACGCAUUAAGCGCUCCGCCUGGG
rnacentral:rRNA from 1 species